CCACUUGCCGGCUUCGCCUCUGGUUCAGAUGGGAUGGAGACAGCAAGGGAUCGAAAUAAAAGGAAGGGGCCUGCGUUUUUGUGUCGGCUUAUUAGCCUGGUCAGACAAGGAAAUGGAGUUGAGUAUCUGGAUAUUUCACCUUAAUAAGACAAAACUCAGAAAAGAGCAUGAAAACUAAAAGGAAAUGUCCGGGGAAAUCCCUUGUGGAAGAAGGAGCAGACUGGUGCUGUCUGACUACAAAGAUGAGGAUUUGGAUCAGGUGUCCUGCAUGUACAGAACACGUCCUGUAUGACAGACUUAUUUUUCUGCCACAGUAAUUGAUGCUUAAAUCACUUAAAUGACAACAUUAGCUGAAAGACACAACUUCACAAAUAAAGAUCUGGACGAUCUUUUAUGUUUCUCCUGCAGUUUUGGAUGAGGGAAGAUCAACAGGGGGCACUGAUAACUAAAAGCACUUAUUUUUCAUAUUCAAAGAAAGGAAAGAAAAAGACUUUGUUUUUAGCCAGAGUGCUAAGUCGUGACAAGUAACCACCAUUGAGUUGAGAUAACUUCCCAUAUGCGCACAUGCUCUAGAAUCAGCCAGUCAACAGCAGUCUGGCUGUGGAAAGUUAGACAAUGAACGAUAGCCCAAAACUUUUGAAAGUCAGCCAACCAGGGACGAGUCUAGACAACAGCCAAUCAGCCAGCACCUCACUCUGGUGACUUUGAAGGUCAGCCAAUCCACAGCAGCCUUACUCCUGUGCCCUACACUAACACAGCUAAGUCCAUCAAAAACACGCCCGUUGCUGAAAGUGCACCAAUCCUGGAACGGCAGGCUUUCCAAAACGUUACAGAAGAUAACCUCUGGCUUUGCACUGGUGUCUUAAAAUACAGGCAAACGGGAAGUUAACCAUUUUUUGUAUCAGAUAUCGGUCAUAAUAUUGUUAGCUUGGAACUCUGAUGGUUCAAGCCAAUUACAGUGAGCUAUGAGUUUGCACUCCUGAAAUAACAGAUGCACUGAUGCGGCUGCAAGAUUAUCAAAUGGAAUCUUUUCAAUUCUUGCAGUGCUUGCUGUUAUCUAUUUUUUAUUUGUGUAUUUGUACCCCAAAAUGCAAGGGUACAUUUCGUGAUAAAUUUUCUGAACGGUGGACGUACAUUAAACAAGGAAAAAGAAUUAUUGAAGCUCUUUGAGCAGUAUACAUUUGUUAAUUCAGUGUUGAAAAUGAUGGAAAGUCAGACACAGGCCAGCAUAUUCCAGCUGAGAUCUUCAAUUAGUGCCAAAGAAAGAGAGAAAUUACAAAAAAUUUUUUAUGAAGAGAAAUUCAGAUAAAGAAAAGUUGUAAUGGCCCUUCCCACUAAAUUAUUUCGUCAUUCUUUCAGCUCAAAUAACUGAAUGCCUUACUACCAGAAGUAUUUUCUGAUUCCAAAAUUGCAAGCAAAUCUUCAAGUGCCAGGACAAAAUCUACCGCAAUAAUUUAAAAAAAGUAUUGACUCUAUUAUUAUUAUAGAGAUUAUCUAAGAUAUAAAUAUCUCACUUUUUACAGCAUAAACCGUGGACACAAGUAAUCACAAUGCAGAAAAAAUUUUCCCUUUGCCCAUGCAAUAUUUUUCUAUGAAAAAGUCUUGUUUCUAAGAUGGAACUUCAGAAACAAUAGAAAUUUUGGCAGACUCUCUUAUUAAGUUAGCAGUUAGUGAGAAAAAAUGUACUGCUUUUGGUGGAUGUAAUACGAAUAUAAAUUUGGAGAAUGUUUGCUUAAAGGUGAAAACAGUGUUUAUUCAAAGUUGAAGCAAAACAUGAGCGAUUCUUUGGAAGGAGUUGGCUGUUCUGUCCAUAUUCGGAUAACGCUCCUGGAGCAUCAUUGGAUGUCCACCCUAUUGACAUUGAAGUGAGUUGGGGGUCUGGCCCCACAGCCAAAAGUGGUUAAAGUUCCACGCACUCCACUUCGGUGGCCCAGGUUCAUGGGUUCGGAUCCACUCAUCAGCAGUGCUGUGGAGGCAUAUGAAGUAGAGGAAGACUGAAGAUUGGCACAGAUGUUAGCUCGGGGCAAAUCUUCCUCACACACACAAAAAGGUAAACUGGAGAAAAAUUAAUGUUUAAGAAAAUCGACUGGGAUGUUAAGCACUGAUUUUGAGCAAAUUUCUUAACUAGUAUGUUUUAUAGUAUUAAUUUCUAAUAUUAAAUAAAGGCUAUACAAUAUAAAUAUUUAAA